rnacentral:rRNA from 1 species
UACGUAGGUGGCGAGCGUUAUCCGGAUUUAUUGGGCGUAAAGCGAGCGCAGGCGGUUUCUUAAGUCUGAUGUGAAAGCCCCCGGCUCAACCGGGGAAGUGCAUCGGAAACUGGGAAACUUGAGUGCAGAAGAGGACAGUGGAACUCCAUGUGUAGCGGUGAAAUGCGUAGAUAUAUGGAAGAACACCAGUGGCGAAGGCGGCUCUCUGGACUGUAACUGACGCUGAGGCUCGAAAGUGUGGGUAGCAAAC